rnacentral:misc_RNA from 1 species
GAUGAAGAACGUAGCGAAAUGCGAUAAGUAAUGUGAAUUGCAGAAUUCAGUGAAUCAUCGAAUCUUUGAACGCACAUUGCGCCCGCCAGCAUUCUGGCGGGCAUGCCUGUUCGAGCGUCAUUUCAACCCUCGAGCCCCCCCGGGGGCCUCGGUGUUGGGGGACGGCACACCAGCCGCCCCCGAAAUGCAGUGGCGACCCCGCCGCAGCCUCCCCUGCGUAGUAGCACACACCUCGCACCGGAGCGCGGAGGCGGUCACGCCGUAAAACGCCCAACUUUCUUAGAGUUGACCUCGGAUCAGGUAGGAAUACUCGCUGAACUUAAGCAUAUCAAUAAGCGGAGGA